AGAGGAUGACCAGCCACACUGGAACUGAGACACGGUCCAGACUCCUACGGGAGGCAGCAGUGGGGAAUAUUGCACAAUGGGCGCAAGCCUGAUGCAGCCAUGCCGCGUGUAUGAAGAAGGCCUUCGGGUUGUAAAGUACUUUCAGCGGGGAGGAAGGGAGUAAAGUUAAUACCUUUACUCAUUGACGUUACCCGCAGAAGAAGCACCGGCUAACUCCGUGCCAGCAGCCGCGGUAAUACGGAGGGUGCAAGCGUUAAUCGGAAUUACUGGGCGUAAAGCGCACGCAGGCGGUUUGUUAAGUCAGAUGUGAAAUCCCCGGGCUCAACCUGGGAACUGCAUCUGAUACUGGCAAG
rnacentral:rRNA from 1 species